GCAGCCGUAGCUCAGUUGGCAGAUCGUUCGCUUAGUGUGUGAAAGGUCUCGGGUUCAAGCCCCGGCGGCUACA